rnacentral:rRNA from 1 species
UACGUAGGUGACCAGCGUUGUCCGGAUUUACUGGGCGUAAAGAGCGCGCAGGCGGUCGUUCAAGUCGAGUGUGAAAGCCCCCGGCUCAACUGGGGAGGGUCAUUCGAUACUGAUCGACUAGAAGGCAGGAGAGGGAAGCGGAAUUCCCGGUGUAGUGGUGAAAUGCGUAGAUAUCGGGAGGAACACCAGUGGCGAAGGCGGCUUCCUGGCCUGUUCUUGACGCUGAGGCGCGAAGCUGGGGGAGCAAAACGGGG